CCCUUAGAUGUUCUGGGCCGCACGCGUGCUACACUGAGUGGAUCAGCGGGUCAGGUUGCGCGAAAGUGUUUCCUAAUCUUGAAAUCCGCUCGUGAUGGGGAUUGACGGUUGCAAUUUUCCGUCAUGAACGAGGAAUACCUUGUAAGCGCGGGUCAUCAUCCCGCGCUGAAUACGUCCCUGCCCUUUGUACACACCGCCCGUCGCUCCUACCGAUUGAGUGGUCCGGUGAGGCUUUGGGAUCUGAGCAAAAAGAGCGUUUCGCUCGUUUGGCUCGGAAAACUCAGUCGAACCUUAUCAUUUAGAGGAGGGAGAAGUCGUAACA
rnacentral:rRNA from 1 species